ACGCAUUCCACACAGGGUCGCCGUNAACGSUGGGUGUUUGAUCCUGGAUCACUUCUGUGGGGAUUACYGGCGGAACGGGUGAGUAACACGUGGGCAAUCUGCCCUUCACUCUGGGACAAGCCCUGGAAACGGGGUCUAAUACCGGAUAUGAGCCUCCUCCGCAUGGUGGGGGCUGGAAAGCUCCGGCGGUGAAGGAUGAGCCCGCGGCCUAUCAGCUUGUUGGUGAGGUAAUGGCUCACCAAGGCGACGACGGGUAGCCGGCCUGAGAGGGCGACCGGCCACACUGGGACUGAGACACGGCCCAGACUCCUACGGGAGGCAGCAGUGGGGAAUAUUGCACAAUGGGCGAAAGCCUGAUGCAGCGACGCCGCGUGAGGGAUGACGGCCUUCGGGUUGUAAACCUCUUUCAGCAAGGAAGAAGCGAAAGUGACGGUACCUGCAGAAGAAGCGCCGGCUAACUACGUGCCAGCAGCCGCGGUAAUACGUAGGGCGCAAGCCGUUGUCCGGAAUUAUUGGGCGUAAAGAGCUCGUAGGCGGCUUUGUCACGUCGGUUGUGAAAGCCCGGGGCUUUAACCCCGGUCUGCAGU
rnacentral:rRNA from 1 species